rnacentral:misc_RNA from 1 species
AACUUUUGGCAAUGGAUCUCUUGGUUCUGGCAUAGAUGAAGAACGCAGCGAAAUGCGAUUAGUAAUGCGAAUUGCAGAAUUUCCGUGAGUCAUCGAAUCUUUGAACGCACAUUGCGCCCACUGGUAUUCCGGUGGGCAUGCCUGUUCGAGCGUCAUUAUCCUCCCUCAAACCCCGGGUUUGGUGUUGGACCCAAGUUGUGUGAACAACUGGUCUCAAAGACAAUGACGGCGUCCGUGGGACCCUCGGUGCAACGAGCUUUUAAACGAGCACGCGUCGAGUUUCAAGGACCUUCCGGGCCGGUCUCCUUCUUUUAUUUACAAAGGUUGACCUCGGAUCAGGUAGGAAUACCCGCUGAACUUAAGCAUAUCAAUAAGCGGAGGCU